UUUUUGCCCAUCUAAUUUUUCAUCUCUUCCCAAUCCGAUAGCUAGCUUCCUGAUUUGAUCUAAUCCUACGUCCCCAUGGCUGGACACGGCCGGGGCUGGAUCUCCGGAGGCGGGGUUGCGGGCGGCCUUGGGAGCCGCCAGUUCCACCAGCACAUCCAUGGAGGCAACGAGCUAGGACGCAGCGGCGAUAGGAAGCUGGCCGUGCACGGAGACCAGAUUGAUGGGCACGGAGGUCGAUUAGAAGGGGAAGGAGGCUGGAUUGUUGUGCGCGGAUGGCGAAUCGGACGUGCUGGCUUCCACAUCAACAGCCAGGGUGAGGUUUUCGCCCCCGACUCGGAGGACGAAGAUGCCAUGGAGGACGUGGCCUCGGAGGGGGCUACGGGCAUGAAGGUGGAUGCGGAGGGAGCUGCGGGCAUGGAGGUGACCGCGAACAAGGCUCCAGGGAUGGAGGGGGCUCCGGGCGUGGAGCUCCCCCCGGAGGUGCAGGCGCGCUUGGACAAGGUGUUUGCUGGCAUCGAUCCAGUGUACCAUAACGUCUUCAUCAGCUUUUACAAGCUUUAGCUAAAGACCUUAUGGUAUUCCUUUUGCAUAAAGGAAUUGCUGCUAUGUGGGACAGAUCCACCUCAACCUUUUUACGGCCACUAUUCUUAGGCUUUCUUGAGCUAAUAUCAACUGGUAAUCCAUUUGCACGGCAUUGCUUCACUCGUCGCCAAAUACGCCAUACUGCAUGACGGUUGACAUUGAACAAUUCAGCAACUAUUUUUGUAGCGUUUCUCCUUAGUUUUCCAUGGUUACUUCUCACUAGCAAAGCUUCGUAUAUCUGUUGUCUUUGAGUGGCACUAAGAUCUUUUGACCGAGUUCUAGCACUUCCAUUUGCAUGUUCAUCUUCUUCGUUGGGUGAAUCCUCCAACUCCUCUUCGUCAAAUACGAUCUCUACAUCCGCAACAUGUGUGCCAUACUCAUGCAGCUCCUGCUCCGGGGCCUCGAAGUAACCAUCAUUGCCUACAAAUUAUGUUGGCUGUUAUGUUUACAGGCCGCUCAUUGAGAUCUGGUAAGGCCUCUCCACCUUUAACUGGUUUAUGUUCAUCAAUAGCAGAAGUCCAGAGGUUAAGGUAAUGAAGUUGGAGGAAUUGUUCAUGUCAAAAUCAUAUUGUACAGUAUUCAUCAGUUAAGAGAGAGUUUGAGUCAUGACUUACCUGGACUGAUGAGUUGUUGCCUGCCAGCAAACUCAGCUCCAUCAAGAUCAUGAUCCUCUUGCAAAAGCUCUUCAUCAUCAACUGGAUUGUUGAGGUCUGGUAAAAGCUCUUCAUCAUGUGGUGGUGAUUUGUUGAGAUCUAAAGCCAUGGAUGCUGAAUGGAUGAAAAUGACGUUGAACCUAUAGCUAGCAGCCUUUUAUAGGCCAAAGAAGAGAGGGAAAUGGCGGGAUUUCAAAUUGCAUUCUGUAGGCUGUGAAGUUAGCUGUAGAGCUUUCCAGUAACUUCUUUUAGUCAUCUGGCGCUUGAGCCCUCCCUUCUCCAUUUGAAUAUUGAUGUAUACAGUGACCUGUUGUUUGGAGAAACCCUCUCGUCUCCAUUAAAAUAUUGAUGUAUACAGUACUGUUGUGUGGAGGAGAACAAUAUUUAA